UGGACCAGAGCGGCACGACGGGAUAGGGCGUGCCCCACAUGUAUUUCAGUCCGCGUUCGUAGGCCGACUUGGUUGCAACAUUCGCUGCCACCAAAGGAAUCUGAUUUCGCUCGGCCACUGUCGGCACCGGCAAUCCCAGNGUCCAGUCGGGUCCGAGGAAGAAGUCGACCUGGUCGACAGUCGCCAUCUUUUCAUAAAGAG
rnacentral:misc_RNA from 1 species